ensembl:lncRNA
GUAUUUGCCUGACUAUCUUCUAGGCUGGGUGAAGAUCAAAUGAGAUAAACGCCCACCUGGUCCGCGCUGGUUGUGUCUCUUUGAUUUGGGGACACGCCUAACACUGUUUCCGGGAGCGACUUUAGGAUCCUAGUCAGAAGGGCAGGCACGGCAGGCCUGUGGCGCAGGUGGCUGUCCCAGCCUCAGGAAUGUGCCGAGUAAUUUUCUUUUAAAUAUUAUUACUCAAAUGGCAACAGACAAUUUCAGGGCUCUGGCGGAGAAUCUGAGGACCGCGGAGACGCAAGCCCGACCGGGCAACCCCUGGGGCCUCCAGGCCGGAGAGGGGACCGCCUCUGGGAGCCAGGAGUCCCGGCCGGGGACCGGGUGACUCGGGGCGCUCGGGCUGCUCCGGGGGCCUGGAGGCGCGAGGCCCCGGGCCGCAGCGCAGCCCCAGCCCGGCCCGCCAGCAGGUGGCGCUGUGCGCGGUCCUCAGACGCUGCGCGCCCAGGCGUGGUACACCGCGAGCAGUCCGACCCCAGGCCCGGCGCGGCCCAGACAGUGUUCCCAGGGGCUCCCGCCGGCGGCACGGCAGUGAUUCCCCAGGCCCACCCCGUCCGGCCGGAGGUACUGAUGGAAACCAAGGGAUAAGCAUUUGGAACAGUCUAGAGAGCCUUGGAAGCUGCGUGGGCCGGGAAGAGAAUCAGCAUCACUGUGGAGUGAGGGGCCUCUGCCAGCCAAUCGUGCUGACAUGAAAACACACAAAACCGCCAUCCACAGAUGUGCACACACGCACGCCUCGCCAACACAGCUUCAGCUCAUUUGCAAAACCCAAAGCUGCUUGCAGGUGAGCUGGUGAACGAGAAGCAGGAAGAGGAAGCUCUUGAGGAAACAGUCAGCUCCGCCCCUGCGAGAAUGAGGCCGAACCCAAACCGCAGUGGAAAUGUCAGCACUGAGGAGGCGCAUCGCGGCUUGGCUUGUGGUGGACCCACUGCAUUUAUUGUAACUGGGUAACCCGAGUCUGUCCUGUCCCCAGUCCCCAGCACCACUGCCCCAUUCUAACAGGGUCAGCCAAGUUAAUUCUGCUAUGGAAAAGUGAAAGGAAAAGAGACACCAUAUUAAAGAAUCUUACCACAGUGAUAUAUGCACACCCAUGUUCAUAGCGGCACAGUGCAUAAUAGCUAAAGCUUGGAAACAGCCCAAGUGCCCGUCAACUGGAAACUAGAUAAAGAAGAUGUGGGUUUUUUUAUAAAAUGGAGUACUACUCAGCCAAAGGAAUGAGAAACUAGAGGCAUUUUAUAGCUAAAUGGAUGCAUAUUGAGGCCAUCCUCUUAAGUGAAAUAAAUAGGACACACACACGUGUAAAUACCGAAUCGUUUCUCUAGUGUGAGAAACUGAAACUGUAAUUAAGGAUUAAAAUGCUUAAAAUGAAUAAUGGAUAAUUUGAAAUAAGAAGAAAAGGUCCAAAGGGGUUGGGGAAGUAGGAGGGGUAAGGGAAAGGAAAAAUGAGAAAUGGAAAAAAUGGAAACAAAGUCUUUGUAAAUAGGGAAGGGUGGAGGGGUGCAGGGAGGACAGGGAAUGGGGAAAAAAUAAGAACCAAGAUGCAUCAUGCACAGGUACAAGCACCCAAUGAUAAAUGUAAAUGUAUUGUAUACCUAAAAUGUAC